UACGUAGGGUGCAAGCGUUGUCCGGAAUUAUUGGGCGUAAAGAGUUCGUAGGCGGUUUGUCGCGUCCGUUGUGAAAGCUUGGGGCUCAACCCCAGGUCUGCAGUGGAUACGGGCAGGCUAGAGUCAGGUAGGGGAGAACGGAAUUCCUGGUGUAGCGGUGAAAUGCGCAGAUAUCAGGAGGAACACCGGUGGCGAAGGCGGUUCUCUGGGCCUGUACUGACGCUGAGGAACGAAAGCGUGGGGAGCGAACAGG
rnacentral:rRNA from 1 species